CCCUGAUGUUAAAACAAGCUGUACUGCUCUAAUGGCCAUCCUAUACGGAAGUAUUCUUACCUAAAAGCAUUGCUUCAAGGGAAGAACAUCUCACAACCCAUACAGCCAUAUGCAGAGACUGGACUACUGGACAGGAAAAACUAUUUAAUGUACUAUUCUGACCCCUGGACAAUAGUAACAAUUGAGAACUGGUUUAUUUCCAAAACUGGACUAGAAACUUUGAUAAUUCUGGAAGUUAUCUCUUUGGCAGAAUAGAUGGGGAGCUUUGAGGCAGCUGCUGCUCGGUGGUGGUGUUGCUUCAUCAAGAGGCACCAAUUGUGGAGUGUAGCACUUCUCUUCCAGGCACUGAAGUCUAUCUAUCACAUCGUGACUGGAGAGGGUGCUAAAAUGCUGGAGAGGAUGGCUAACUUUCACUUGAGCUGCUGAAUUACUGUCUGUCCAGGGAGACUAAUCUAAGUUUCCAGCAGCAAGUAUCACAGACAGUGGCUAUAAAGCUUGAGCAUGCUGAAGAAGGUGGGGAAAGUGUCAUAAAUUAUACAUGUCAUAUUUCUAUCAUUCCAUCUUCUUUAAACCAAAGUAACAGAUAAAAUGCACAUAAAUGAUUUGU